rnacentral:lncRNA from 1 species
GUCAGUCAUGGCAAACAUCUUAUCAAUCCUCUCCCACACUCUAGCUGCACCUAGACGAUUGUUGUACCAGAUAAACCGCGGUCCCACAAAACUAAGAUCCACGAGGCCAGUAGACUGGAUAAAUUUUCUGAACUCUCUAAAGCUCACAUCCUUUAUGAAGUGCCUACCUCUCCUUUUAUCCUCUGGACCAGUAGUACAAUUGAAGUCACCAACCAC